rnacentral:piRNA from 1 species
UGUGAUGUGACGUAGUGGA